rnacentral:misc_RNA from 1 species
CAACACUCAAGCCCCCGGGCUUGGUGUUGGAGAUCAGCGAGCCCUCCGGGGCGCGCCGCCUCUCAAAUUUAGUGGCGGUCUCGCUGUAGCUUCCUCUGCGUAGUAGCACACCUCGCACUGGGAAACAGCGUGGCCACGCCGUAAAACCCCCCACUUCUGAAA